UAACACAUGCAAGUCGAGCGGAAACGACACUAACAAUCCUUCGGGUGCGUUAAUGGGCGUCGAGCGGCGGACGGGUGAGUAAUGCCUAGGAAAUUGCCUUGAUGUGGGGGAUAACCAUUGGAAACGAUGGCUAAUACCGCAUAAUGCCUACGGGCCAAAGAGGGGGACCUUCGGGCCUCUCGCGUCAAGAUAUGCCUAGGUGGGAUUAGCUAGUUGGUGAGGUAAUGGCUCACCAAGGCGACGAUCCCUAGCUGGUCUGAGAGGAUGAUCAGCCACACUGGAACUGAGACACGGUCCAGACUCCUACGGGAGGCAGCAGUGGGGAAUAUUGCACAAUGGGCGAAAGCCUGAUGCAGCCAUGCCGCGUGUAUGAAGAA
rnacentral:rRNA from 1 species